AGCCUAAGUCUACUGGAGGAUGCUAAUAUUUAAAGAGAAAAGAGACCUGAUUGCUCAGUCACCUCUCCUACUGCCCCACACUUAGCAUAAAAUGAAUAAGGUUAAGCUCAACUUUAGAGAAGAGAGAAGAAAAUGUGGGCAAAAAUAACUUGUUAAUUUGAAAUAUCCAAGUUCUUAUAAGAAAAGGAAACCAGCCUCUAAAUCAUGGGGCUUCUGACUCAGCUCCUCACUUGUGUGCCUAACACCAGCUAGUGCUUCAGCUAGAUACUUAGUGUAAGACUUCAAAAUAGUCAUUGUAAUAGUUUACAUUUCUCCAGAAGUUGACCCCAAGCACUUUGAAUAUAUUGGACCACUCUUUUCUGGUCUGCAAAAUUUUUGCUGGAAAAAUCUGCCGUAGUCUUAUGGGAAGUCCUUCGGGCCCUUGUGAACGUGUAAAACAGAAAUUUAAAAUAAACCCAGAGGUUGGACAUGACUUUUGAUGAUAUGGGUGAAGUUGUUUAUUUAAUUCAAGAUGUGAGGACUGAGACAAAUAUUCGAGCUAUGCAUGCUAUGAAAAUUUCACUGGAAAAGAACUGUAUCACUAUUUGUUGUGGAGGACAAUCAGUCUCACUCAACAUGAUGUAGUUAUUAAUGUACCAAAAAAUAUCAUCAUUAAAAGCCAAAUGUCCUUGCUUUCCAAUCACAUGAUGAACUAUAGGAAAUGCAAAAGAACGGAGUUGGUAAUUCAGAACAUAGGAAACAUCUGAGAAGACCAAAUUUGUUGAUAGUUACACAGUCUCUAGACUUAGAGCAACUCUUCUGAAAAGGUCAAUCCUCUGAUGCUCAGCUCAGCCAAUCCCUGUCAUGCCCCUCUGGGAGGAGAAGCAUAGGGGUAAGAGGAAG